rnacentral:rRNA from 1 species
GAUGAACGCUGGCGGCGUGCCUAAUACAUGCAAGUCGAGCGAACAGAUAAGGAGCUUGCUCCUUUGACGUUAGCGGCGGACGGGUGAGUAACACGUGGGUAACCUACCUAUAAGACUGGAAUAACUCCGGGAAACCGGGGCUAAUGCCGGAUAACAUUUAGAACCGCAUGGUUCUAAAGUGAAAGAUGGUUUUGCUAUCACUUAUAGAUGGGCCCGCGCCGUAUUAGCUAGUUGGUAAGGUAACGGCUUACCAAGGCAACGAUACGUAGCCGACCUGAGAGGGUGAUCGGCCACACUGGAACUGAGACACGGUCCAGACUCCUACGGGAGGCAGCAGUAGGGAAUCUUCCGCAAUGGGCGAAAGCCUGACGGAGCAACGCCGCGUGAGUGAUGAAGGUCUUCGGAUCGUAAAACUCUGUUAUUAGGGAAGAACAAAUGUGUAAGUAACUGUGCACGUCUUGACGGUACCUAAUCAGAAAGCCACGGCUAACUACGUG